GACGAACGCUGGCGGCGUGCUUAACACAUGCAAGUCGAACGCUGAAGCCCUGGCUUUUGUUGGGUUGGAUGAGUGGCGAACGGGUGAGUAACACGUGAGUAACCUGCCCUCUUCUUUGGGAUAACGCCCGGAAACGGGUGCUAAUACUGGAUAUUCACUGAUCUUCGCAUGGGGGUUGGUGGAAAGGUUUGUUCUGGUGGGGGAUGGGCUCGCGGCCUAUCAGCUUGUUGGUGGGGUGAUGGCCUACCAAGGCUUUGACGGGUAGCCGGCCUGAGAGGGUGACCGGUCACAUUGGGACUGCGAUACGGCCCAGACUCCUACGGGGGGCAGCAGUGGGGAAUAUUGCACAAUGGGCGAAAGCCUGAUGCAGCGACGCCGCGUGAGGGAUGGAGGCCUUCGGGUUGUAAACCUCUUUCGCUCAUGGUCAAGCCGCAACUGUGGGUUGUGGUGAGGGUAGUGGGUAAAGAAGCGCCGGCUAACUACGUG
rnacentral:rRNA from 1 species